UGCCAGAAGCGUCGGUAAUACGUGGGCCCCAAACGUUAUCCGGUUUUACUGGGUAUAAAAGGUCGUGUAGGUGUCCUACUAAGUUUUAUUUUAAAUACUAUAGCUUAACUAUAGGAAAAGAUAAAAUACUAGUAGGAUAGAGUUUUCUUUAGGGCAACCGGAACUUAGAGAGGAGUAGUGAAAUGCGUUGAUACUCUAAGGAACAUUAGUGGCGAAAGCGGGUUUCUGAAAGAAAACUGACACUGAGACACGAAAGCUAGGGGAGCGAAGCAGAUUAGAGACCUGCGUAGUCCUAGCCUUAAACGCAUGCUUGCUAACUGCAUUGUCCCAACUUUAUGUUAGGAUAGUGUGGUGAAGGUAACCCGUUAAGCAAGCCACCUGGGGAGUACGACCGCAAGGUUAAAACUCAAAGGAAUUGGCGGGGAGGCACACAACCAGUGGAACAUGUUGUUCAAUUCGAAACGAACCGAAAAACCUCACCAGGGCUUGACAUUCCGAAGUUCUAUUUGACAGAAAUGUCAAAAAUUCGCAAGAAGAUCGGAACAGGUGCUGCAUGGCUGUCGUCAGCUCGUUCCGUGAGGAGUACCCUUAAGUGGGACAACGAGCGCAACCCCCAUUCAGUGUUAAAUUUAUCACUGAAAACGGUCCCGAUAUUUUUAUCGGGAAGGAAGGAGGGGCAGACGUCAAGUCAGCAUGGUUCUUAUGCCCUGGGCUACAAACAUGUUACAAUGAAAAAAACAAUGGGUCUAGCUACUUCGCAAGAAGAUGCCAAUCCCAAAAAAUUUUUCUCAGUGGGGAUUGAGGUCUGCA
rnacentral:rRNA from 1 species